rnacentral:rRNA from 1 species
AGAGUUUGAUCAUGGCUCAGAGCGAACGCUGGCGGCGUUAACACAUGCAAGUCGAGUGCGCGUUUUCGUAGCAAUACGGAAAUGGCGCACGGCGCACGGGUGCGUAACACGUGGGUAAUCUGCCCUCUGAUGGGGAAUAACUCGCCGAAAGGCGAGCUAAUUCCGCAUAACAUUCCUUGGACUCCGGUUCGAGGAUUCAAAGGCGUAAGUCGUCGGAGGUGGAGCCCGCGCACGAUUAGCUAGUUGGUGAGGUAAUGGCUCACCAAGGCUAUGAUCGUUAGCUGGUCUGAGAGGAUGGCCAGCCACACUGGAACUGAGACACGGUCCAGACUCCUACGGGAGGCAGCAGUGGGGAAUCUUGCACAAUGGGCGAAAGCCUGAUGCAGCGACGCCGCGUGGGGGAUGAAGCUUCUCGGAGUGUAAACCCCUUUCGACCGGGACGAAUACCUCGCAAGAGGGGUGACGGUACCGGUAUAAGAAGCCCCGGCUAACUACGUGCCAGCAGCCGCGGUAAGACGUAGGGGGCCAGCGUUGCUCGGAAUUACUGGGUGUAAAGGGUUCGUAGGCGGUGUGGCAAGUCGGGAGUGAAAUCUCUGGGCUCAACCCAGGGGCUGCUUCCGAAACUGCCGUGCUAGAGUGUGGGAGAGGCGCGUGGAAUUGCAGGUGUAGCGGUGAAAUGCGUAGAUAUCUGCAGGAACACCCGUGGCGAAAGCGGCGCGCUGGACCACUACUGACGCUGAGGAACGAAAGCUAGGGGAGCAAACAGGAUUAGAUACCCUAGUAGUCC